GGCUGCGGAGGGCAGGUGGAGGGGCCGCGGGGUGCGGGCAGUCCCCUCCUUCCCUGUUGGUUUCUUUGGGACGGAUGCGGCCGGCCCCAUCUUUGCGCUUUACGCAACAGGUCACAACAUGAUUGUUGGGAAAAUGGGAUGGUUGCCAGAACAUCAGUCUGUGAUGGAUGCCAUAUUGCAUUACUCUUCAAAUGGUGGAAUACAGUUUGGGAUUCCUCAGACCUGCUUAACAUGGUUCAAGCUGGAACUUACAGCUGCUUAACGUUUUAGCUGUCUGGAUCCAUGGUUAUGGUUAAUGGUUUCCUGGGUGAAGAGUCCCAUACUGAAACUUGUGGAUAUUGUGGAACAUGCUGCUGAGACCCAUUUGGAUUAUACUGCCAUCUGACACCAAGGUUCUGCAGCUGAUGAAAGGAGCUUACCAGAUCUUUUUUAUGUGGUUGCUGAAGCAUUGCCCUGGGACAGCAGUAAUGAUGGAUGGAGGAACAGAACACAUUUCAGAGCUAUCUGAAACUGGCUUUCUUUGUUCACUCCAGCUGUCAGCAGAUUUCAAGGAUUGAGUCACAGAGAAAUGUGAGCAUUUACACUUCUGAAGUAGGUGUGAAUGGGACUGAAGGAAUUACAUGGAGGAUUCUGAACUCCCCUUCUUCCUGCUCCGGGAAAGACGGGUGAGUGUAUUAUGAAAUAGUUUAUAAUUAACUCAGUCCUUGCUUCAG
rnacentral:lncRNA from 1 species